rnacentral:misc_RNA from 1 species
CGGCGCGACUCUUUCUCAAAAUUUAUCGUCGAUUGCAGCUACAGCAACUGAGAGUCUCAGGUGAUUAUGCGCAAAUGGCACACACGAAGCGAGGGAGAUUCACCGUGGAUCUGUCCAUGUGUACGCUCAGUAGCCUUCCUACAGAUACUCUCUCUGUGGAAAAAGAGAAUGAUGUGCUUUACCGCCUUUUAGAACUUCUUCCCGAGCGCUACACGAGCAAAGUUUUGGAAGAGCAGCGCAUUCCUGAGGGCCUCAUCGUGCAGAUUCUCAUCAAGGCACGCGCUAUAAUAGCCAGUGAGCCGAUGGUUGUCGAAGUAGAUUCCCCUGUUUACGCUUGCGGUGAUCUACACGGGCAGUACUACGACUUGGUUAACAUUUUCAAGCGGUGCCCACCGCUUGGAGGCACCGUUUUCGGAACUGAUGCGAAGAAGGCACGUAAAGAGACCAGCUCAUCGAUCGAUGAUAAAACAUACAGCUUUCUGUUCCUUGGCGAUUAUGUCGACCGCGGCGCUCGCUCCGUUGAGGUCGUUGUGACACUGCUCGCUCUCAAGAUUAUUUCUCCGCGGCACAUGACUAUGCUUCGCGGAAACCACGAGGACGAACAAAUCAUGCUCUUGUAUGGAUUUUACGACGAAUGCAAGAGACGCUAUGGCAUUAAACUUUUCAAAAUGUUCACCGAUUUUUUUCGUGUUCUGCCUGUGGCGGCCCUAGUGAACGGCUCCAUUUUCUGCGUUCACGGCGGUCUCUCCGCGGAGCUCCGCUUCGUGCGAGACAUCCCGGACACGCGCCCGUGCAACGUCCCGCACUCCGGCAUCAUUUGUGACCUUCUGUGGGCAGAUCCCGAAACUGAUCUGCCAGCUGGUGUGGACUGGGCUCCGAGCUCGCGCAGAAUUUCAUCUGUGUUUUCCGAACGGGCACUGGAGCGGUUUUUAGUUGAGAACGACAUUGAUUUGGUGUGCCGCGCACAUCAAGUGGUCGAAGAAGGAUUCCAGUUUUUCCCGGAUCACAAAAAGCGGCAUUUGCUCACCAUCUUUUCGGCAACUAACUACUGCAACGAGUUUGGGAAUAGAGGCGGCAUUUUACGCGUGGAUGAGAAGGGUGUAUGCAGCAUCAUCACGUUGGAACCACCAGACUUUGUCCAGCAGCGGGAUAUCAUGCUUUUUCGGGAUCCGCUUCCAAACCCUCUGAGCCACGACUGAAAUGGAAAAUAGAUGAGAGCGCACCAGGCGCCUUCUUCAGAUAGAUCUGCACGCACCACUCCCGCAGCUACUCAUUGUGUAUUUUUUUUGUGUUCAUGCUCGAGCGUGAAGGUCUUCACCGAGUAUCAUUACAAACACCAGUU